rnacentral:misc_RNA from 1 species
GUAGGUGAACCUGCGGAAGGAUCAUUAUCGAAUUAUAAGCGAGGGUUGUCGCUGGCCUCGAAAGGGGCAUGUGCACGCCCGAGCUCUUAAAUCCACAACACACCUGUGAACCCACCGUAGGCCUUCGGGCUUAUGUAUCAUAUAUUCUGAAUGUGUCAUAGAAUGUUCAUGUUGCCUUAAAACGCAAUCAAAUACAACUUUCAACAACGGAUCUCUUGGCUCUC